CUCUGACCAUUUCCGCAUUUCCGCAAGCUGAUCCUGGUAUUGGCUGUGAUUUUGACGGCUCUGGGGUGAAAGGGGAGAUGGCUGACGUGUCGAGCUACCCUCUGUUAUUCGCCGAGCUGCUCCGAAGAGGCUGGUCAGAGGCAGAGCUGGAGAACGUCGCUUACAGAAACUUCUAGAGAGUUUUCAAACAAGUGGAAGCGGUUCGGGAUGCUAUGAGAUCGGUUCCACCGGACAGCACACUUCUGGACAGAUCGGCAGUUCCAGAUCAAACCUGUUUGUCCAAACUGCCAUAUUUGCCAU